UAAAUAAAUAUACUAUUUAUGUGGCUAAAGGGACAUUACAUAAGGUGUAGUGUCAUUGCUGAUAGUGUAAAUGGUAGUUAGAUAUUUCCGGAGGGCGGAGACUCGAGGCCGAGUGUUCCCGAACACUUCCGAUCUUUGCCGAUCUCCUGCACCGGCCGCCGAGCUGUUGUUUUUGCUGCGUGUCCUGCUCGCAUCCAUCUCUGGUCGCGCUCCCAUCAUGGUGGACAUCUUGGUGCUGAUGUUUUUCGCCAUCAUGGGCCUCGUGUUUCUCUCCUACAUCAUCUACAUGCUGUGAUGAAGCGGAGACACCGGGAAUUACCGGCGAACGGCGGGAUGGAGCCGAGCCGUUAUCCCCGCUGCAUCACCUGUCUGCAGCCUGCACUAAGGGAGAAGAUGCACGUCCAGGCUGUGAUGCUUCUACAGAGCUGAGAGGAAACACAAAUGGAGAGAAAGAAGAAAACGUGGAAGCCAAACUCUUUCUGUCUCCUCUCACCCAGACCCUCUCCUUUAUAUUUCCUCCUUUAUCCAGAGUCUUUUCUCUGCUGCUGAAGGUGUGCCAGGACGGUACAGGUGUAACAGUCUGCCUUUUUUAUACCGCUGUGUGCAGUUUGACAGUAUUAUUCCACGAGAUGCCACUUAAAGCUUCAGACUUUUCCCUUAUUUUGGAGAUGAAUGGGUUGGCUCAGCCUCAGUGUUGAUUUAUUUCAUUCAAGUGUUGCCAAUAAGUUCUUCUCCUCACUAUAAUCAAUAUACAGUCAAGUAUCUGCUGCUUAUGUUCACGUUUUUUGUCUUAUUUAUGUAUUUUUGGCUGCAAAUGUCCUGCACAAAGAGGCAUCCGUGUGCUCAUGUGAUCCCCCCAAACCUCAUUUAUUUUACAUAAUAUAUUGAAAUAAUGUUCUGUUUGCAGAGAUUACUGACAGUAUUUCACACUUUAUGUCAAAUAUAAGCGGUUCAGCUCAUCUGUAUGCUUCUGUUUUAUCACCAAACCUUAUUUAUGGCGUCUGUUAUAUUUAAAUAAUGUUGGAUGCACUGAUAAUCUGCUGAAAUGAAAGACAGUAUUUCACAUUUUAUGUCAAAUAAAGAUGAUUUUGUUGAAUUCA